UUCAAAGAGUAGUUUGAAACUCAGAAUUCU
rnacentral:piRNA from 1 species